rnacentral:rRNA from 1 species
CAGCAGCCGCGGUAAUACGAAGGGGGCUAGCGUUGCUCGGAAUCACUGGGCGUAAAGGGUGCGUAGGCGGGUCUUUAAGUCAGGGGUGAAAUCCUGGAGCUCAACUCCAGAACUGCCUUUGAUACUGAAGAUCUUGAGUUCGGGAGAGGUGAGUGGAACUGCGAGUGUAGAGGUGAAAUUCGUAGAUAUUCGCAAGAACACCAGUGGCGAAGGCGGCUCACUGGCCCAUAACUGACGCUGAGGCACGAAGGCGUGGGGAGCAAACAGGAUUAGAUACCCGCGUAGUCCCUGUCUCUUAUAC